rnacentral:tRNA from 1 species
AGCCCCUUAGCUCAACGGAAGAGCGACGGUCUCCAAAACCGAGGACGGGAGUUCGACACUUCCAGGGGCUGCCA